AUGCUGUGCAAAUUAUACAGUGAGAAAUGUUUGGCUGAACCAUGCACCUCCAUGGGCCUCGAAUGUUCAAUGCUUAUUCCGGACAUGUGCCGCUAUGCCAUUCUACCACACCUCUAUAUUCAGGCACCUCCAUUUUAUCCGUGCAACUUUAAACAAUCUACUCCACCUAUAAAUUCAGGUGCUGCUAUUCUAUCCGUUCAAUCUUUCACACAUAUUUGUAACGUUCAGUCUUUAUCAAAUGUUUCUAAUAUUUUUAUCCAAGAUGGACGGGCACAGCAAAUCACGUCUUGCAGUCUCGGUCUUUUGUUAUGCGCGCAGACAGAAAUUUACAUGAUUCCUGGAGAGAGUGCACAUGUUCUUAUUUGCAGUACAUUAUUUAACACGGAAGAUUCACAUGUUUUACUUCUUUGGUGUGUCUGCAUGGUUCCAGUUGGUAUGCGCCAAGGAAGUAUAACUCCUUCCACCGGCCACAUCUUCUUCACGUAUCUGGCUGCUAAUUUCUUUCAGGUCAUCUUCGGUGAGCUUUAUCUUUAA
rnacentral:rRNA from 1 species